CGCGGCAAGAAGUUCUGCGCUAUAACGAAAAAGGGGGGGUCUGUCACUGGCUUUGCCCUCGUGAUAGAGGGCUUUUUAUAACGG
rnacentral:sRNA from 25 species